CUAAAAUUAUGAAAAUUAUGUUUAAUUAUAUUAUGAAAAAUAGUAGUCUAGUAGUCUAAUUUAUAAUGUCAAAGAAGUUAUUGUUUAUUGCUCCAAAAUAGAAAAAAGAAUUAAAAACAGCAACAACACAGAAAACACAGAAAGCAUACCAUUGUUGACCAGUAGGUUUCAUAUAGUUUACAAAAGUUUUUACAAUUAAUCUGUUUGAAAAAAUCAAGAAUUAUAAACACUUUUUUACCUGCCCUCUACCAAUUUUUUUUGUUCUUAUCUAUUAAGCUUUAAAGAUUAUAUUUUAAUUUAAAAAAAAAAAAAACUUUUA